CUUAGUUACCUCAAAUCAGGAUAAGGGUAAGGAGAGGACUGUUGUCUACAGCAGAAAUCUGUCCAGUAAACAGUUGAGCGCUCACACAGCUGUAAAUGGAGACAGUUCGACUGGAGUUGGAUGUUUUGAUAUUCCCAGAUGGAGUGAGGAUUGCUACUGCAGAAGAAAUCGCAGAAUGGGAGCUUCAGGCUGCGAGCCAGGUGUCCAUACCGACCAUCCGACUCUUUGUGGCACUUUACCCAUACAACCCUGCUGCAAUGUCCCCCAACUAUGAGAUGGCUGCAGAGGAGCUGCCUUUUGUGCCAGGCCAGAUAAUCAAGGUGUUUGGAGACAAAGACUAUGAUGGCUUCUAUUAUGGUGAGUCCGGUGGUCUCUCUGGUUAUGUGCCAAGUAACAUGGUGGCUGAAGUCCCAGUGGAGGAUGAGUACCUGAAGCAUCGCCUCAUGCAGCAGGGAUUCCUCCCUGUGGACCACACAGGCAUGUCUUCAACGCCAGAUCUGAGCGACGUAGCCAGUAUCCCUGAUGAUUUGGUCGUUCGACGAAUGGUGGCCAUAUUUGACUACGAUCCGUGGGAAAGUUCACCCAACAUGGACAGUGAGAUUGAACUUGGCUUUCGUUCAGGAGACAUCAUUUAUGUCCUAGGUGACAUGGAUCGAGAUGGAUUUUACUACGGGGAUCUGCACGGACGACGAGGUUUGGUUCCAUCUAAUUACCUGCAGCCACUACCCUGGAAUUAGAAGAAAAGACCACGCUAUAAGAUGUUUGCUACCAAUGCCAAGUCUCAGAGACACCAACAGUAUACUCAUCCAUAAAGUAGGAAACACUACACUGUGUAGUAGAGUUUAGUAGUGCUUUCUACUUUAUGGGUGACAACACUGUACAUCAGUAGCUUCUGGUCGUUCCACCGCAAACAAUGAAGACAUGACGGGUCGGGUAAAGGCAAGUUUCCACACAUUAAAUAAACACAAGCACAUUCUCUAACAUCAUUUUAUAACUGAGAAACAUGAAAAUAUUAUGCACACACAGCAUUUGGUAGAAAUGUGCUCAAAGGUCUGCUGAUAUAGGACAAUAAUGAGACAUAAUGUAGUAACUCGUGUAUAUUUCAGUGCAUUUUAAUUGGAAAGAUACAACAAAUAAAAGCAAAUGCAGUCAAAGAAUGGUCAAAAUUAAACAAUUAAAGUCACUUGCUGUCAGGGCCUUACCAUUGUUUGGACUCCCCAGAAGAAAGAAAACCCAGAAGUGAACGUGAUCUUUUUAUUAACCCUGUCUGAGCCACGUGGUUAACACAGGAAAAGCUCUAACAGUCACACACACACACGCAUGCACGCACGCACGCACGCACACACACACACACACACACACUCUGGUGGGAAUAGUAUUUGAAACAUGUACUCAGGUUUGUGACCAUGUCCCUUUUACAGUUUUUUUUCGAUUGCUAAACAGUCGGGCACAACUGAAGCCCCAUGUGCAAAACACAACUCUUCACACACGUCUCAAAACAGGCUCAGUGCAGCCAAACACUAUGCACAGUCCUCAUCUAGGUAACACACGCUGUCACUCAGAACACACUGAGACACACAC